UUUCUUCACAAGUAUAGAGAUUUCAAGAGAUCACUGAAGCUAGUCCAUGAUGGAAAAAGUAUAGAUGCAGCUCAUGAAGCCGUGGAGAGACUUGUAUCGCUAAUGAAGAGCCCUUCUACUCCUCAACGAUUCUGGCUUCCUCUUCUGCAUGAUUCAGUAAAG